CUCAUUCAUUCAGACACGUUAGUUUUCAAAACCCUAGCCUCUCCUUCAUCCAUCUUCUCCUCUAGAUCAAUCAUCGCCUCCAUCACAACAAAAUAGAACAAAUGUCGAUCAACAACUCCAGCGUUUAAUACACAUAUUUGCUUUCGUUUGUGCAAAUCUUCUGUUUUGUUCAUCCCUACUGAUUAUUGUUUACUUAUGAAGAUCUGGAAACUGGGCCAAAAUGCCCUAGCCGCCGCUUCCAAGCAACAAAGGCAAGGGUUCCGACAAGUUGAUGCGGAGCCAGUUCAGUUGACAGGUCUGCAUUUUAGUUUAUAUUUUUAUUUUUGGUUGCCGUUGAUUUUAUUUAUUAAAAAGUGUUUCUUAUUCUUUUUUUCUUCUCAUUCAUCUCACGACGUCUAUUUGAGAAACCCUAAAUCACAACCAACUUUCUUUGUUUAUCGAUUUCAAGAAAGGGAUGUUUUUUAUGAUGUUAAUCUGAAUCAUAUCACCACCAUCAUUCAAAUCUGGUACUUGAGGCUGUAUGUUUGUAAAUCCACACUUUCUAGGUUUGUCGAACGAUAAAUCUGGUAUCUGGAAUAGUCUAUCAUCUUGGAGUCUCCGGCAGUCGAGGAGCUGACAAAAUUAAGCGUAGUAUGGAUAAACACAACAGGGAUCGAUCAUCCAUUGCCAAAACUAUGAGAUCAUUCUUGUGAUCAGUAAAUCACAUUUGACUUUAAAAGCGAUUAACGUUGUGGGGUAUCAAUCAUAACGUUAAUUAUGAGAGGAAGACCAAAUGGAUCUUAUAAGAAGCGUUUGCUCACUACUUUUGUUCUUGUGGGAGCUGCCCUCCUUUUCCUCUAUUUGUAUUCCGGUUCUCAUAGCGAAGGUGAAUCCGCUAUAGAGUACGGUAGCCGGUCUCUAAGAAAGCUCGGAUCAUCCUACUUAAGUGGUGAUGACGAAUCCAAUCUCGGUAGCAAGCAAGAUGAAUUUCAAUUCGGGCUCGAUGACGAGGAUGGUAUUGUACCAAAAAGCUUUCCCUUCCGUGCAGGUUUGUGAUGAUUGAUACUCUGAACUGAUACCCUGCCUUGACCGACACCUUAUCUACCAGGUGAGAUUGAAGUUGGAUUUGUCUUUGAUGGAACACCAUGAAAGAAAUUCCCCUCUGCCUGAAAGGCGUUUUAACUGCUUGAUUCCUCUGCCAAAUGGGUACAAGGUGCGGUUCUAUUCAAUAGAAGUGGAAAAUAGACGUGUUGGGUACCGUGUCAUACAUGUGACUUAUGGUACCUUGUCAAACGGGUUAGAUUGACAAGAAACGUUCUUUUGUUCAAUUUUUUAAUCUAUCUAUAUAAAUAUAAUAAACAAUAUCUGAAUCUCAAUACAAAAAAGUUUUUAGCUUUUGUACUAUGGAAAGAUUACAUUUUUGGGGGAGCGAAGAACACUAGAAACCUAUCUUGUAAAUGUAGUGACUCUUCAAAUGUUUAUUUUUACACUUUUCGAUUGAUGGAUCAUGGAAUGCACUGUUAAAUUGGCUUUGUGGUGUGUUCAUGGUGUAUCUGGUUUGCUAACUUGUAUUUCAGAUGCGUGAUCUCUGAUGCCAAAGAAGUGGAAGACAAAUAUAUAAUAAUCUUUGGUGGUAGUGAUCUGGUUGUAUAUAGUUGUAUUUGGGAGUUUGGUGUAGAUUUUUUUGGUUGUAUAUAUGUAAUAUGUUACAGAUGAAGGUACUUGAGUCAUUAGGUAUGUGUUGCAUAAAGUUCUUUACAUUA